AACGAACGCUGGCGGCAGGCCUAACACAUGCAAGUCGAGCGAACCCUUCGGGGUUAGCGGCGGACGGGUUAGUAACGCGUGGGAAUAUACCCUUUGGUACGGAAUAGCCUCGGGAAACUGAGAGUAAUACCGUAUGUGCCCUUCGGGGAAAGAUUUAUCGCCAAAGGAUUAGCCCGCGUUGGAUUAGAUAGUUGGUGGGGUAAGUGGCCUACCAAGUCUACGAUCCAUAGCUGGUUUGAGAGGAUGAUCAGCAACACUGGGACUGAGACACGGCCCAGACUCCUACGGGAGGCAGCAGUGGGGAAUCUUAGACAAUGGGCGCAAGCCUGAUCUAGCCAUGCCGCGUGGACGAUGAAGGCCUUAGGGUUGUAAAGUCCUUUCAGAUGGGAAGAUAAUGACGGUACCAUCAGAAGAAGCCCCGGCUAACUCCGUG
rnacentral:rRNA from 1 species